GAUCUCCUCCUCGCACAACACGUACCUGACCGGGGACCAGUUCUCCAGCGAGUCCUCCCUGGAAGCCUACGCUCGCUGCCUGCGGAUGGGCUGCCGCUGCAUCGAGUUGGACUGCUGGGACGGCCCAGACGGGAUGCCAGUCAUUUACCACGGACACACUCUGACCACCAAGAUCAAGUUCUCAGACGUCCUGCACACCAUCAAGGAGCAUGCCUUUGUGGCCUCAGAGUACCCGGUCAUCCUGUCUAUCGAGGACCACUGCAGCAUUGCC